UUAUGUUCCUACUUUAUUGUCCUUAAAAAUAUCCUAGUGAGCUAUGUGGAAAACAGUGAAAAUCUUCAGUAACAAAAUUUAGUUGUUUUCCCCAAUUUUGAAACCUGCAUAAUGCUAAUUUAGUUGCUUUUUAAAAAGAAUUUAAAAAUUAAUUCUCUGCCUAGUUCCUAAUCUUCAUGAUAAAAUCUAAUUGUUCAUUUGUAUUUCUCCCACAGCCUUACUGUCUGCUACGGCUCUGAAUUAUCUGCUAUCUUUAGUUGCCAUCGUCUUAUUCUUUGUCUACUAUACUCAUCCAGCUAGUUGUUCAGAAAAUAAGGCAUUCAUCAGUGUCAACAUGCUCCUCUGCAUUGGCGCUUCCGUGAUGUCUAUACUGCCAAAAAUCCAAGAGUCACAACCAAGAUCUGGUUUGUUACAGUCUUCAGUGAUUACAGUCUAUACAAUGUACUUGACAUGGUCUGCUAUGACCAACGAGCCAG